GCCCUCGUAGCCCAAUCGGCAGAGGCAGGCCCCUUAAAAGGGUCCCAGUGUGGGUUCGAGACCCACCGAGGGCACCA
rnacentral:tRNA from 1 species